UCUAAAUCUUAAAUCGUUUGCCAAGUGUAAAGCUAAAUGUUUAGAAAUUAUGCAAAUUAGGCAGGUUAACGCCAGUCUUCCACGCCCCUUGCCGUAGCCUCAGAUCACGAAGCCCCGCCCACACCUCCGACUGCGGCUCAGUGGGUGAUGCGAGGGGAAGAAGCAGACAUGGCGGGCUCGCUCCAAUCAGACCAACACGAGAGGGCGGUUAUGGCCGGUGUACGGGCUGCACUUUAGUCCACACCACAAACGGUUUCCACACCACAGAUACCUCUGGCUGGGCCCUCACGUACUUCAAGUUUUGCCGCGACCACCACGUCACUAAGAUCGCGAUGAAGACACCAAUGAGGAUGCAGAAGACCUUGGAGGCCCCAGACGAGAAUUCUUCCAUCUACUUGGAAAAGCUGUCUUUAAAGACAGUGGAGCAUUUGAAGGUCCCUCUCUAUCUCCCCACACAUCCACCAACCACUGGAACACAUCUCCAAAGUUCUGCCGGGCCAGCUCAGCUUCCCCUCAGAAGAAGUGCUGCCACCUGCCAGAUGAAGGAGCCUUUUGAGAGGGAGCUGGCAUCGUGAUUGGACUGUACUUUGGUCUGUUCCAAUCCAGCUUCAGCUCCAGAGACGGCAGGCGGGACGAGUCAACGGAGGCCGGGUGGACAAAGGCAUGCAGCUGAGUACAAUCCAGAAAACAACAGAGGAGGAGUGCAGUGACCCAGGGCCAGAACAAACAGUAUGUCUCUUAGAAAACAUCAUAGUAUAGCCUUUGGUAUGAAAAACACCAUCAUAUACAUCGUAUAUUGUACAAAUAACAAGUCAAAGGAAAGAGACAUACAUUGUAGAAUUGUAGUAAUUCUGGGCUGACUGAUUUACUGAUUAUCAGUAUUUUAUUUUUUACUGAUUUACGGAAAUAAAUACGUUUAAAAAUGGUGCUACUUUGGCUCUGAACCUUAAUCUACCUGGGGUCGCUCUGUCUUCUGGAGUGAUUUGAUUGGUUAUACGUCACGAAUAAAACUCCUUUAACUUAACAUCUGUAAACAAAACAAAAACGUAUCAACAAAGUUUUCUGUUAAAGUUUGUGUUCUUGUAAGUUUAACUCCAAGAUUUUAAAUACUUUCAUUUACUGCAAAUGAAUAUCCAAAUGAAUAUACUCCAAAUGUCUCAAUAAUAAUCAUUAUCAGCCUUAAAAACCCACAAAACACCCCUUUAUACUCGACCACACUUAGUACAGUCCGGUUCCCCCUUCUAUAAAUCUGCUUGGAAUCUUCCACUUCCUGUUUGCCAAAGUGGCCUUCUACCUGGACAGGUUUUGUUGGAGCUCAUGCAACAAACAUUUUGGGUAACUGCACUUUAAUAUGGAUGGAUGACACUGAAUUAGAGUCUGUUUUAAUGAGACUGAGUUAAGAUGUGUAGCUCUGUCAUUAAAUACGAAAUUAUUUCUCAGAAUUCACAGAGAAAAGUCUGAAAUGUUUGCUAGGUUAGCGUCCCACAUGUUCUUUGGCUCAGCUAAUGCUAACUCUCUCCAACUUCUGGAUCUCUUGAGUUGCUUGUUGUUAAAAUAUCUUGCUAGAGGUGCUGAAGCUCAGAAAGUCUGAGAUGUUUGUUCAGAAUAAGCUCAUUCUCAAGUCUUAUCUGAACUGUCCUCUUUUGUUUGAACUUUCCCUAAACUUAGGAGUUAAUGACAGAGCAGCACAUCCAGACUCACUCUCAUUUAUGUAGAAAUUAAACUUCAGUGUCAUUCAUUGAUGUUAAAGAGCAGUUUUUCAAAUGUUUGUUGCACAUGCUCCCAACCAAACCAGUCCAGGUGGAAGACGAUGUGAAGAGAAAGCUCCAGAGGAUGAAUAUCACACAUUUACGUUGGAAAUAAAUGUCCUUU